GAUGAACGCUAGCGGCAGGCUUAACACAUGCAAGUCGAGGGGCAGCAUUGUUUGUAGCAAUACAAAUAGAUGGCGACCGGCGCACGGGUGCGUAACGCGUAUGCAACCUACCAUAUACAGGGGGAUAAUCAUUCGAAAGGAUGUCUAAUACCCCAUAGUAUUAUUUGAUGGCAUCGUUAAAUAAUUAAAGAUUUAUUGGUAUAUGAUGGGCAUGCGUAUCAUUAGCUAGUUGGAGUGGUAACGGCACACCAAGGCAACGAUGAUUAGGGGUUCUGAGAGGGAGAUCCCCCACACUGGAACUGAGAAACGGACCAGACUCCUACGGGAGGAAGCAGUGAGGAAUAUUGGACAAUGGGCGCAAGCCUGAUCCAGCCAUGCCGCGUGCAGGAAGAAGCAUCUAUGGUGUGUAAACUGCUUUUGAACGGGAAGAAACACCCCUUCGUGAAGGGACUUGACGGUACCGAAAGGAUAAGAAUCGGCUAACUCCGUGCCAGCAGCCGCCGUAACAC
rnacentral:rRNA from 1 species